CCUACGGGAGGCUGCAGUGAGGAAUAUUGGUCAAUGGACGAGAGUCUGAACCAGCCAAGUAGCGUGAAGGAUGACUGCCCUAUGGGUUGUAAACUUCUUUUAUAAAGGAAUAAAACGAGGCACGUGUGCCUUUUUGCAUGUAAUUUAUGAAUAAGGCAUGACUAACCCCGUGCCAGCAGCCGCGGUAAUACGGAAGAUCCGAACGUUAUCCGGAUUUUUUUGGUUUACAGGGAGCGUAGAUGGGUUUUUAAGUUCAGUGUGAAAGUUUGCGGCUUAACCGUAAAAUUGCAAUUGAUACUGGCAGUCUUGAGUAAAGUGGAGGUAGGCGGAAUUCGUGGUGUAGCGGUGAAAUGCUUAGAUAUCACGAAGAACCCCGAUUGCGAAGGCAGCUUACUAAACUGUGACUGACAUUGAUGCUCGAAAGUGUGGGUAUCAAACAGGAUUAGAUACCCUUGUAGUC
rnacentral:rRNA from 1 species